UACGUAGGGUGCGAGCGUUAAUCGGAAUUACUGGGCGUAAAGCGUGCGCAGGCUGUUGUGCCAGACCGAUGUUAAAUCCCCGGGCUUAACCUGGGAACUGCAUUUGUGACUGCACGGCUAGAGUGUGUCAGAGGGGGGUAGAAUUCCACGUGUAGCAGUGAAAUGCGUAGAUAUGUGGAGGAAUACCGAUGGCGAAGGCAGCCCCCUGGGAUAACACUGACGCUCAUGCACGAAAGCGUGGGGAGCAAACAGG
rnacentral:rRNA from 1 species